UCUAACUGUGGGCCCUGAUCGGGUUUUGGGACAGUGCCUGGUGGGUAGUUUAACUGGGGCGGUUGCCUCCUAAAUGGUAACGGAGGCGCCCAAAGGUUCCCUCAGAAUGGUUGGAAAUCAUUCAUAGAGUGUAAAGGCAUAAGGGAGCUUGACUGCGAGACCUACAAGUCGAGCAGGCACGAAAGUGGGGCUUAGUGAUCCGGUGGUUCUGUAUGGAAGGGCC
rnacentral:rRNA from 1 species